rnacentral:rRNA from 1 species
GUAGCCGGACUGAGAGGUUGAACGGCCGCAUUGGGACUGAGACACGGCCCAGACUCCUACGGGAGGCAGCAGUGGGGAAUAUCGCACAAUGGGGGAAACCCUGAUGCAGCGACGCCGCGUGGAGGAAGAAGGUCUUCGGAUUGUAAACUGUUGUUGAGGAAGAUAAUGACGGUACUCAACAAGGAAGUGACGGCUAACUACGUGCCAGCAGCCGCGUAAAACGUAGGUCACAAGCGUUGUCCGGAAUUACUGGGUGUAAAGGGAGCGCAGGCGGGAAGACAAGUUGGAAGUGAAAUCCAUGGGCUCAACCCAUGAAUUGCUUUCAAAACUGUUUUUCUUGAGUAGUGCAGAGGUAGGCGGAAUUCCCGGUGUAGCGGUGGAAUGCGUAGAUAUCGGGAGGAACACCAGUGGCGAAGGCGGCCUACUGGGCACCAACUGACGCUGAGGCUCGAAAGUGUGGGUAGCAAACAGGAUUAGAUACCCUGGUAGUCCACACUGUAAACGAUGAUUACUAGGUGUUGGAGGAUUGACCCCUUCAGUGCCGCAGUUAACACAAUAAGUAAUCCACCUGGGGAGUACGACCGCAAGGUUGAAACUCAAAGGAAUUGACGGGGGCCCGCACAAGCAGUGGAGUAUGUGGUUUAAUUCGACGCAACGCGAAGAACCUUACCAAGUCUUGACAUCCUGCGACGCACAUAGAAAUAUGUGUUUCCUUCGGGACGCAGAGACAGGUGGUGCAUGGUUGUCGUCAGCUCGUGUCGUGAGAUGUUGGGUUAAGUCCCGCAACGAGCGCAACCCUUAUGGUCAGUUACUACGCAAGAGGACUCUGGCCAGACUGCCGUUGACAAAACGGAGGAAGGUGGGGAUGACGUCAAAUCAUCAUGCCCUUUAUGACUUGGGCUACACACGUACUACAAUGGCGUUAAACAAAGAGAAGCAAGACCGCGAGGUGGAGCAAAACUCAGAAACAACGUCCCAGUUCGGACUGCAGGCUGCAACUCGCCUGCACGAAGUCGGAAUUGCUAGUAAUCGCAGAUCAGCAUGCUGCGGUGAAUACGUUCCCGGGCCUUGUACACACCGCCCGUCACACCAUGAGAGCCGGGGGGACCCGAAGUCGGUAGUCUAACCGCAAGGAGGACGCCGCCGAAGGUAAAACUGGUGAUUGGGGUGAAGUCGUAACAAGGUAGCCGUAGGAGGAACCUGCGGCUG